UACGAAGGGGGCUAGCGUUGCUCGGAAUCACUGGGCGUAAAGCGCACGUAGGCGGCUUUCUAAGUCAGGGGUGAAAUCCUGGAGCUCAACUCCAGAACUGCCUUUGAUACUGGAGAGCUCGAGUCCGGAAGAGGUGAGUGGAACUGCGAGUGUAGAGGUGAAAUUCGUAGAUAUUCGCAAGAACACCAGUGGCGAAGGCGGACUCACUGGUCCGGUACUGACGCUGAGGUGCGAAAGCGUGGGGAGCAA
rnacentral:rRNA from 1 species